GCCGGUGUGGCGGAAUUGGCAGACGCAGCAGACUCAAAAUCUGCCAGUCGCGAGGCUGUAUGGGUUCGAGUCCCAUCACCGGCA
rnacentral:tRNA from 1 species